UACGUAGGGGGCAAGCGUUGUCCGGAUUUAUUGGGCGUAAAGAGCGUGUAGGCGGUUUGGUAGGUCCGCUGUGAAAACUCGAGGCUCAACCUCCGAGACGCCGGUGGAAACCAUCAGACUAGAGUCCGGAAGAGGAGAGUGGAAUUCCUGGUGUAGCGGUGAAAUGCGCAGAUAUCAGGAAGAACACCCGUGGCUAAGGCGGCUCUCUAGUACGGUACUGACGCUGAGACGCGGAAAGCGUGGGGAGCGAACAGG
rnacentral:rRNA from 1 species